GUAUGCGGUUCUGUCAAUGUUUCAUUUUGCAAAUAUUUUCAGUUGUAACGUGUCAUUUGGCCAAGUUUCACUUUAAUUCUUGAGAUAAUUUUAAAAAGAUUAUCUACAAACGAAUAUGCGAAAAUAAAUAACGACUAAAAAAAAUAGUGAAUUUAAUUAAAAAAAGUUUGAAGGAAACAAACAAAAAUAAUUAAAAUUUGAUUAAAAAAAUAUAAAACAAAAAUUACGUAAAUAAAUUAAUGUUCAAUUGCAAAAAGUGCUCAAUUAAAAAAAAGGGUUUCGAAACAACCCCAAAGUGUUCAGUUGUAAGAAUAUUCAAAAAUACCAGACGCAGUAUAACAGGAAAACCUAAACAUCUACUUCAAACUGUAAAUUGGAAACAGUUAAACUAGAAAAUUUAAAACAGAGUUCUAGCAGUUGUACGUAAUUAAUUGAAAGAAUCAGCAGAAAUAAAAACCCACGGCUAAAUUCUUGAAAAAAAAAAAAUUGCACCAUAUUUUGAAAAGUCAUCUAUAGUUUCAGAAAAUCGCCAUGAAGUUCGUUUAAAUGUGUGCAAAUUUUGAGAACGACUCAGUAAUUGGAAAAACAAGAAGAUUUACGGCAACUUUUUUACAUUUAAGGAGAUUCUGUUGUAUAUUUUGAAUUAUAACUGGGGAGCGAGUUUCCUCGUUAACCAUCAGCAUGAGUAAAUCGGGAUUUUCAACGCUCAAUCGUUGGUUGGGACGUAAAA